GGUGCAUGAGGAUUUGGCCAAUCCCCUCCACGCGCGCGCACCCAAUCCCAUCCUUGUCUCACCUCAGCCGCCUCACCUCAGCCGCCCCCGCACAAACCCUAGCCCCUUUUCUCCUCCAUUCCCACAGCCGCCGCAACCCUCCCUCUCGGUCUCCCCUCCCUCCCCACCUCCCUUGUCAGCGGUUGCCGCCACUCCACCUCCCUCUUCUCUGUCGCCGGCGGCCAGCUCAUCCGCCAUGGACGGAGGGUGUCAAUCGCAAGCAGCGCUGGCGGACGAGCACACACGCAUGUCCUCUUCCUGGUGGAAGGCAACUCGAGCAUGGGAGUGUGGCCACGGCUGGGCACCAUGGGUUGGCCGAGGUGUUUCAUGGUGAGGAACAGGUGCGCCAUUUUCCAAUCCGUCCUGCCCAGCCCGAUGCCUACCAUGAAUUCAGCACAGUUUGAAGCAUCCAAGGUAGGAAGGACCAAGAAAGCAUAGAUCUGUGAAAGAAGAGACGAAGAACAAUUUUAGCUGAAGAGUUGAAGAAGACCAAGAAUAAUAAUUCAAGUGGAUGGCCGAUGCGUCUUGUUGUUUAGCGGUAUGAUGGUCGAUGGAAGUAUGUUCUAUAUUGCAAGAUGAUUGCAGCUGAUGCCGAGCCUCUCGAGAUCUGAGGGCCGUAGUAUUCAGAAUUACCUACAGCUUGAGUAGAUACACAUUAUUCACUGCAUAUUUUAUUCCAAUGGUUUUACUUCCACACCACUGGUUUGUCUAUAUUAAAUCACAAGAACUUCAUGAGCUUAAUUGGUUACUGUGUAGAAGGGCAUUCUUUCAAGGAGCUGUAGAUUUUUUGAAUAUGCUCCCUGCUGGACCAUUUUCGGUAUGUACAGAAUUUGUUGAGAAUGGGUGUGAAAAAAUUGACCAUCCAGUGGAUUUAUACGCAUGGUAUGUACAGAAUUCUGCAACCACAAUAGAAGUAAGGCCAUGGAGCAAGAAUUCUGUUGGGCAUCCUUUGCAUUUAUCUUGUCAGGUUCCCAUGCUUCAUAGCAUGUGUGUAAGCGUAGCAGUACACACAUACACUGCAGUUCAUACUGCCAUUUAAUAGGGGAUGCAUUAGGGUACUUUAUUUCCAUUAUAAACUGAUAAUAGUUAUGAGUUUAGUAAGGUAACAAUAAUUUGGGUUAUAGCAGAAUAUAGAUGUGGUAUGCUUGUAUGAGUAGAAUGCAGAGUUUAUAAAUGAACUAAAAUCUGAGAACAGGAAGUGGUAGGUUUAAUUUCAGUUAGAAGAUUAGGUGUACUGCAGUAUCAUAUAUUCAGGUAAUCCCUUGCAUUUUUUUGCCAUGUUCAGGCUUUAUACAUCGUUUGUAUAUGCAUAAAGUACGCCACAUAAACUGGAGUUCAUAGUGUCAGGAGUAAGAGAGGUGCAACUAAGUACUAGCAUGUUACAGGAUAAGAACGACUCUUUAGUUUAACUCCAAAGAGGUUAGAUGAAAUGAGUUCUUGAUAUAUCUGAACUCUAGAUUAUAAGAUGCAUCUUCUUACUCUUCCUGAGAUCACGGUUAUCAUAACUGGACGUUCGUUUGUUUGUCGGAAGUUUUAUCUCUUCUCUACAGUCAAAGCUCAUGUGCAAUUUGGAGAAAAAUGCACACAUGCUGUCGCCGCAGUUGACGAUUCCUUUUAGGUAUCUAACCAAUAGCGGCCUAUGUUUCCUGGUCAUUUUUCUUUUGGAAAUGGAAGUUGUUGCUUCCUAGGCGAGCUGAGGUGAUAACUGAACUCUCUUCUACUAUUGAGCAGAUUCAGUAUUCACGUUUAUUUUCAUUAGCCCAAGGAUAGUUUUUUUUGUGUUGUUGUGGCUGUGGGCAGCUACCGAAAAAAGAAAAGAGGAUGAGCGAGACUACUGCAGUGAGAGACGGCGGCCACGAGAGCUAUGGAUGCAGGAGAGGGUUCAUGUUGUUUAUAUAUUUCCUCUAGGCCAUGUGUCUUUCCAUCCCCCUCUCCAGGAGAGGGUUCAUGUUAUUUAUUUUAUUAGUCAAAUAUAAUAUGAGGUCACCUACCAUCAUCAUUCUUGAUUACAGUCUCGUACGAAAGUAGUCCGAUUAGUUGUAGUAAUUCAUAAAUAUUUUUGGUAUGGUUCUUAUUUGGUUUCAAGACACAGAAAUUUGAAAGGCAUAUAUAAGAGAAAAAUCCCUGGCAUUACUUCAAAAUCGUGAUCUUUAUUUGGUUAGUAAGGCCUUCCUUUUGUGGCUACAAUUUUUUUUUUCUAUUGUGAUGUUUGAAACAAUGAAGGGGAGCCUUGGCGCAGUGGUAAAGCUGCUGCCUUGUGACCAUGAGGUCAUGGGUUCAAGUCCUGGAAACAGCCUCUUACAGAAAUGUAGGGAAAGGCUGCGUACUAUAGACCCAAAGUGGUCGGACCCUUCCCUGGACCCUGCGCAAGCGGGAGCUACAUGCACCAGGUUGCCCUUUUUGUGAUGUUUGAAACAAUAUUUUAUACUUAUAAUGAUCUAGAAUACAACAGAUCAAUGAUAUAUACAAAGAGACACAAUAGGAGUUGACUGGAUACCUAGCUUUUGAAAGGACUGAUAUAUACAAAAUAUUAUUGACUAGAACAGGAGAGAUGCAAUCUUAUGGAUAAUUCAAUAUUUGCAAGAAACUUUCCAGCUUGGCCCUCCUAUUGCUCAUCCUGAGAUUUAUUUCCUUCGUUUCAGUGCCUGCUUUUGAUGAUAGGAAACUAACAAGGCAGAAGGCAAUGUGGUAGACGCUGUACUUGCAGGAGGUCUUUAUCGAUGUUGGUCUAGCUGUAUUGUCUAACGACACUUCAUGCGGUCCUCAUGGCGCGAUUAUGGGCUUCCUGAAGGGCUUUUCUGAAAAUAUUCUGGGGCUCCUGGGCUGACCAUUGGAUGUGAGAUCCAAUGGCGAGAACACAUCGUAGCACCGUAUGAGUAGACAGAUAAAUAACAUGGCUGAGAAAGUUCCUCCAAUGAAAGGAGGAGGAGUAUAGUCUUGGCCGUGGCUGGGAAGGAAGGAGAACAGGUUAAUUGAGGAUUUUUCAGGGAGAUUAGGACUGCUUGAUUUAUCACAGAGAAACUAAAUCAGUGGACUGGUGUGCUGGUUGAUUAGGAUCUUUCAGAGAGACCAGGAUUGCUUGAUUAAUCAGCGAGAAACUAGAUCAGUACUUGGGAGUUGGGACUGGUGUGCUACGGUUGAUUUGGGGAUGUGCACUAGCAGGUUUCAGGCAACUAUAUUAUACUCUUCGGUUGGGAUUAGCUUUUGCUGUUACUGACGAGAAUCAGUACAACUAUGAUGGACUGCUUUUCUAGAGCUAGAGCACUACAAAAGUAGAGAUGGUUUUUCACGGCUACACAAUAGGAAUUGAUCUCCGUUCAUUCAUAAAUCAUAAUUAGUGUAGUUCAAGCAGAGUGUUAGGGACAUUGUAGUUUGUCUGAUUAAAUCAAGACUUCAAUUAUUAAAUAAAAUUACAACUUAUAUGUAGAAAACUUUUAUUAACUUUAAUUUUCUAUUUUGCAGGUCCCUGCAGUUAUUUGUCAUAUUGGAUACUUUACAAACAUUCUGUAAAUUGGUAUCAGUUGCACACUUUUUGUUUAUCUCCAUAUCUAUGAUGACUACCUACUCCAAAGCAUCCCCACGUUAAUUUGAAAUAAAAGGAGAAGACCAGAACCAUGAUUUUUAUUCAAUGGUGGUUGAUUAGUAGUGUUCCUCUCCAACCAUUGAGGCUCAGUUUCCAAGUUCUGACCUAGCAUCAAUCCAUCAUGUAAAUUCCCAGUACAUGACUUUAUCUCACUGUGGUUAAUUUAUCAAAGGAGUUGUAUGCCGUUGUUUGAAGCGGAUCAGGUGCCCGCCUCUGUCUGCGAGGCUUCCACAAGUAAUAUAGUUGCGGCCUGGCGCUGCAACAAUUUGCUACCGCGGCGCCAUUCAACUUCCUCACCAGUCGCUCCUAUGCCCACUCACA